GACGAACCGUGCGAACGUUGUUCGGAAUCACUGGGCUUAAAGGGCGCGUAGGCGGGCCCAAAAGUCAGGGGUGAAAUUCCACGGCUCAACCGUGGAAGUGCCUCUGAUACUGUGGGCCUCGAGGGAGGUAGGGGCGUGCGGAACUUCCGGUGGAGCGGUGAAAUGCGUAGAUAUCGGAAGGAACACCGGUGGCGAAAGCGGUUCUCUGGGCAUGAUCUGACGCUGAGGAGCGAAAGUGUGGGGAGCGAACAGG
rnacentral:rRNA from 1 species